AACGAACGCUGGCGGCAUGCCUAACACAUGCAAGUCGAACGAGAUCUUCGGGUCUAGUGGCGCACGGGUGCGUAACGCGUGGGAAUCUGCCCUCAGGUUCGGAAUAACCAUUGGAAACGAUGGCUAAUACCGGAUGAUGACGUUAAGUCCAAAGAUUUAUCGCCUGAGGAUGAGCCCGCGUAGGAUUAGCUAGUUGGUGUGGUAAAGGCGCACCAAGGCGACGAUCCUUAGCUGGUCUGUGAGGAUGAUCAGCCACACUGGGACUGAGACACGGCCCAGACUCCUACGGGAGGCAGCAGUGGGGAAUAUUGGGCACUGGGCCAAAGCCUGAUCCAGCAGUGCCGCGUGAGUGAUGAAGGCCUUAGGGUUGUAAAGCUCUUUUACCCGGGAUGAUAAUGACAGUACCGGGAGAAUAAGCCCCGGCUAACUCCGUG
rnacentral:rRNA from 1 species